AGCAGCCGCGGUAAUUCCAGCUCCAAUAGCGUAUAUUAAAGUUGUUGCAGUUAAAAAGCUCGUAGUUGAAUUUCGGGGUUAGCAAGUUGGUCGUGCCUUCGGUAUGCACUGGCUUUGCUGAUUCCUCCUUCUUGAAGAACUGUGAUGCUAUUAAUUUGGUGUUGCAGGGAAACAGGACUGUUACUUUGAAAAAUUAGAGUGUUUAAAGCAGGCUAACGCUUGAAUACAUUAGCAUGGAAUAAUGAAAUAGGACGUUUGAUCCUAUUUUGUUGGUUUCUAGGAUUGACGUAAUGAUUAAUAGGGAUAGUUGGGGGCAUUAGUAUUCAAUUGUCAGAGGUGAAAUUCUUGGAUUUAUUGAAGACUAACUACUGCGAAAGCAUUUGCCAAGGAUGUUUUC
rnacentral:rRNA from 1 species